rnacentral:lncRNA from 1 species
AUACUAAUUAGAAAGAUUAAAUAUGAGGUAAUUAUAAAACUAAUUGCAGAAGUCCUGGGCUAAUUCGUGAGACGAAUCUAUUAAACCUAAUUAAUCCAUCAUUAGCAAAUGGUUAAUAUAGCACCACAUUAUCAAAUCAUGGACUAAUUAAGCUUAAUAGCUUCGUCUCGCGAAUUAGCCUCCAUCUGUAUAAUUAGUUUUAUAAUUAACUUACAUUUAAUACUUUUAAUUAAUAUCAAAU